rnacentral:lncRNA from 1 species
AAAUAACAUCAUCAAUUAAAUUAUAGUUUAAUGGCAAGUGCUCCGUUAUAGAUACAUUUUCAUUUUUCUCACUUCACACACUCGCUUCGCCAACAUGUCAAGCCACGCCGUUUGGGUCCUCUUCCUCGUCGCCUUCUCCGUCUGCCCUCUUCCAUCCGUCGGGACCCGCUCGUCGAUCCUCCUCCUGAGUCAAUUCAGCCUUGGCUCUUCGUCCCGCGCUCCUGAUCCCA